rnacentral:rRNA from 1 species
AACGAAAGCAUAAUCAUUAGUCUUUUAAUUGAAGGCUGGUAUGCAAUGGUUGGAUGAAAUAUUAACUGUUUCAUUUAAAUUUUUUAUAGAAUUUUAUUUUUUAGUUAAAAAGCUAAAAUUUUUUUAAAAGACGAGAAGACCCUAUAAAUCUUUAUAUUUAAUUUAUAAUAUUUAUUUGGAUAUAUUAAAUUAUUAUAAAUGUGAAUAUUUUAUUGGGGUGAUAUUAAAAUUUAAUAAACUUUUAAUUUAUAUAAAACAUAAAUUAAUGAAUUAAUGAUCCAUUAUUAAUGAUUAAAAAUUUAAGUUACUUUAGGGAUAACAGCGUAAUUUUUUUGGAGAGUCUCAUAUCGAUAAAA